AGCUUUGCACAGUGGCAGUAUUGUAGCCAGUGAGGUUUAUCUGAGGCACGAUUAUUGCUAAUUGAAAACUUUUCCCACUACCUUGCCGUGACAACUUGCAAUACAGUCGGCAUUGGCAAUUUCUGACAGUCUCUAUGGAGA
ensembl:snRNA Gm22005 U4 spliceosomal RNA